UCCCUGGUGGUCCAGUGGUUAAGACUCUAUGCUCCCAAUGCAGAGGGCCCAGGUUCGAUCCCUGGUCAGGGAA
rfam:TPA: Bos taurus chromosome 15, whole genome shotgun sequence.